rnacentral:rRNA from 1 species
GACAGAGGGUGCAAACGUUGUUCGGAAUUACUGGGCGUAAAGCGCGUGUAGGCGGCCCUGCAAGUCGGGUGUGAAAUCCCAUGGCUCAACUAUGGAAGUGCAUUCGAAACUGCAGGGCUAGAGUCCUGGAGAGGAAGGUGGAAUGCUUGGUGUAGAGGUGAAAUUCGUAGAUAUCGGGAGGAACACCAGUGGCGAAGGCGGCGAUCUGGGAAGAUACUGACGCUGAGGUGCGAAAGCGUGGGGAGCAAACAGG